rnacentral:rRNA from 1 species
UACGGAGGGAGCUAGCGUUGUUCGGAAUUACUGGGCGUAAAGCGCACGUAGGCGGCUUUGUAAGUUAGGGGUGAAAGCCCGGAGCUCAACUCCGGAAUUGCCUUUAAGACUGCAUCGCUUGAAUCCGGGAGAGGUGAGUGGAAUUCCGAGUGUAGAGGUGAAAUUCGUAGAUAUCGAGAGGAACACCGGUGGCGAAGGCGGCCUUCUGGACAGUGACUGACGCUGAGACGCGAAAGCCAGGGGAGCGAACGGG